CUCGAGAGCUGUCCACUGACCUGGAACAUCCAAUGAUUCAUCUGUCUUCUCAGAACUAUUGGAAUCCUGGAUCAUUGUGGAGAGUCAAAGGUUGCUUCUGC